rnacentral:misc_RNA from 1 species
AAUCAUCAACUCCUUAUUGCUUUUUUGUAAUGAGGAGCUUGGAUUUGGAGACUGCUGGCCCUUGUAGGGUUCUGGCUUCUCUUGAAUGCAUUAGCUGAUCAUUGGUUUGCAGCAUAUAUGCGGUGUGAUAAUGUCUUCACUGUGUAGCUCAAGUCGCGACUAGCUUCUAAUCGUCCUUUAUGGACAACUUUUGAUC